rnacentral:lncRNA from 1 species
CUCGUUUGGGACAGACUGGGGGACAGGAGGUGGAUUUUCAUUCUCAUCUCACACCGUGCAGAUGUACCCUGCCCUGCAGCACCUCUGGGCACAGCUGCUGGCAGGAUGUUCAGUGACUGCACAGUUUUUGUCCCGAUUUGUGUCCCCUCUACCGUGUGAAAUAAACCUCUGGAUCUCUGCGGUGCCUCCACAUCUGUCCUGAGCAGCGGGUGCUGCUCCAUGGGCUGUUCCCCUGUGCAGUUCCCUGCUCCAUGUGCAGUUCCCGGAGGUUCGGGGUCUCCAUCCCCUCCCGGGGCCGUGGCUGGCAGGGAAGAGCUGGGCUGGAGCUGUCGGAGCUGCCCGGUGCCACCUCCUGUGCCAGGGAAAUGCCAGCGCCUGCACAGGGACCCGACCUGGGAUGCUAGGGGUGUCCCUGCAGGCACCUGUACACACCUGUACACACCUGUACACUCCUGUACACAUACACUUGUACACAUACACCUGUACACUCCUGUACUCACUCACCUGUACACACCCAUGCACAGACACUCACCUGUACACCUACACCUGUACACACACCUGUAUACAGCUGUACACACCCAUGCAUGGACACCUGUACGCACUCACCUGUAUACACCUGUACUCACCUGUAUACACCUGUACUCACCUGUACACACCUGUACUCACCUGUACACAUUCACCUGCACUCACCUGUACUCAGCUGUACACACUCACCUGUACACACCCAUACUCAUCUGUACACACCUGUACACACCCAUGGAUAGACACCAGUACAACCUGUACUCACCUGUAUACACCUGUACACACCUGUACCCACCUGCUCUCACCUGCACACACCUGUACACAUUCACCUACACUCACCUGUACCCACCUAUACACACCUGUACCCACCUGUACACACCUAUACACACCUGUACACACCUGCUCUCACCUGCACACACCUGUACACAUUCACCUACACUCACCUGUACCCACCUAUACACACCUGUACCCACCUGUACUCACCUGCACACACUUGUACCCACCUACAUACACUUGUACACACCUGCAUACACACCUGCACACACCUGUACACACAUGUGCACACUCACCUGUCCCCACCUGUCCGCCCAGGCCCCGCCCCUCAGGCCCCGCCCUUUCCGCGCUCUCGCGAGA